CCCAAACCAGGAGGAUUUAACACUCCGAACACUCUCUUCUAAAUUCAACUCCUGCAAGAAAAACUUAUACAUGUAUACGUGUGUGUGUGUGUGUGUGUGUGUGUGUGUGUGUGUGUGUGUGUGUGUGUGUGUGUGUGUUAUAAAUAAAUAGAUAUAAAAAAAAAAAAAAAAAGAGAGAGAGAAUCAAUAUAAAGGAAAUGCACAAACACAUAAUGUCUCCUAAAUGCUGUGCAAACGAGCCCCGGCGUGUGCGCGCGCAUAAAGUGAGGAGAUUAGCAGGCUAACAUUAGUAAAAUAAGGAGAUUAAAGUCUUCAGCAUCGUCUACAUUUUCUCACGUGAGUAACGAGAUUGUUGCACGAAUUUCUAAGGAUUUCGAAUGAAGCCGUAUGAAGUUCUCACUGUAGUGAUGAUGAUGAUGAUGAUGAUGAUGGUGACGUUUGUAAUGAAGGCUAGUAACCGUUAUUCCGUUAUUAGGUCACGUCCUGUUUUAGCUACAUCUUACACAUUUAGUCCAUUAGCAGUUAUAACAUAAUUAUGAAAUGCUUAUAAUGCACAAAAUCUUAAGUCCUAGGCAUUCUCUGAUAUUAAAUAUCCAUAUCACAAUAAUAUAACUGUGUAACGAUGACGAUAUUAUCUGACAAAUAUGUCCUAUUAUUAUUAUUAUUAUUAUGAUUAUUAUGAUUAUUAUUAGUUCAGUUUUGCUUGUUUGUUUGUGUUUCAGCCCCAUUUUGCUCCCUGAGUCAGUUCUCUAUUGUUGCUUUAGUCUAGACAGUGUGUGUUUGUGUUUGUGAAGAUCCCCAACCCAUCAUUAGCCCCAGUGUGAUGAAUACACCUUCAUACCGCACUGAAAAUAUAAUUAUCUCAAGACUGGGCAAACACAAAACACACACAGACACAGACGCAGCUCUCCCAAGGCAAAGAGACUCUGUGUGUUUGUGUGUGUGUGUGUGUUUUAGAAAUCAGAGCAACAAGACACUACCAGAUUGAACAUCGAUCAAACUUUCCCCUGUAAGAAAUAACAGGAGCACACGCAUGUGACUUGAACAUUUCGAACAGACAGUGUUGCUCCAAACGAGCGAGAGAAGUCCUCACACACAGUGCCAGGGGACUCACUAUAAAUCACGUGUAAUAGCCAAUUCAUCAGUGUGAAACGUGUUUCCUCGCUAAUGUGCUCAGUGAAGAGAUCUAACCGAUACUGAAGCGUCCAGCCUGCCGUCUGGAGACCAAUACACGUCUCAAUAAACACCGAGACGUCAAGCAGCUCGGAAAAACAAGAACACAGAGAGAAGUGUUCAGCGCGUUCCUGCUGGUCUCCGACACUGCAGUAAGCAGAGGAUGUGGACGGCGCACAGCUUCCAGAUGAAGUGAUUUAUGGAGCGAAUGAAACAGGAAUGAUUUUCUGGAGCCUGAAGUAAAAGGCCAUUGGAAACAUGGCGUCUGCUCAACCUCCUCCUCCGUCAGUAAAUCAUCCGCUCCGAAGAGAAAACGGCUCCGAAAUGAAUGACGCAACCGCUGGAUUUAUACAAAGGUUCGAGUUCAGCUGCUAAACAAACACGCAGCAGCGGUUCUCCGUUACGGUUCUCUUGCUUUCACGCCCGUCUAACCCGGGUUAACCAGCUGAUGAGUGUACAAACAGCGACACGCCGCACGACAGGUUCUUAAACACCGCCGUAUGCUUCUGGUUUUAAACAUUGAAACCACCUUCUUGAAGCAGUCAUGAACACACACACGACACACGGUUCUCCAGAUGAUUAAAGGUCCUUAGCUUCCUAAAAUAUUCUCCUCAGUCAUCGUGUUCAACAUAGAACCUUCUAGGGUUCUUCCAGAGACAGCGCUUAUGGUGUUUAGAUUUAAGCUUUUAAUAUAUUUAGGUGCUCUCAGGAAAAAAAAAAAAAAAAAAAAAAUGACCUGGUACAGGUUAUUCAAGAGUUCUGGGUUAGAUCCUUUAACGGGUCACUUAAAUGGCUUCUGAGUAGAACCUUUUUCCUAAGAGACUUAUGAAAAAAGGAUCCUUUACAGGUUGGUUCUUUAGAUUAGUAAGUGUUCUUAGCUUCCUUAAACAGUUCAGAGAACACGCUGGUAUUAGAACCUUCAAGGGUUAGAACCUUCGAAAGUUCUGCUUCUUUCUGAAACUUUUAGAAGUAGGUUCUUUAAGGGUUCUUGUAGACGGUGAAUGUCCCAUAGCUUCUUAAAAACCUUUCCUCCUCUCCUGAACCCUGUCAGAAAGCCAAACAAUCAGCUGUCAGGUUCUACUUAGAAACUUCAAGGGUUCUUUAAUUAGGUUAAGGUUCUGUGUUUCCUAAAACAGUUCUUCUUGGAACCAUUUUCAAGACAGAGACACAUAGUUUUAGGGUUCUCUGUGGAACCUUCAAGGGUUCCCCAGAAGAAGAAGAAAAAAAGCCUUAAGACAUUUUAUUCUGUGUCAGUAUUUGCAAAAAUAAAUAAACAAACAAACAAACAAACAAACAAACAAACAAAUAAAUAAAUAAAGGCCCUUUAGAAAAAGAAUGGUUCUUAGCUUCUUAAAGAAGAUUCUACUUGGAAUUGCUUCUAACACUAAAACAGUCCACUGUAAGGUCUCACACAGAACCUUCCAAUGUUCUGACAGAGACACAGCUGAUGAACCGUUAAAAGUUCUAGAUUUAGACGUUUUGUAUUAGACAAUAAGGUAUCAUUCAGGGUUCUUCAGGGGUUGUUUUGCUUAUGUCAGUGGUUCUUAGUUUCCUAAAGCAGGUCUUCUUGGAAUAACAACUUUACUGCUUUUAGAAAAAAAAGUUAUUUUGAUAAUGAAGGUUCUUAGCUUCCUAAAAGGGUUCUACAUAGAACCUUUAAUGGUUCCCCCAGAGACACAACCAAAGAACACUUAUGGUUUCUAUAUUUAACUCUUUUUUUAGCUAUUAGGUGGAAAUGCAACAUCCCCGGGUUCUUUUAUCUUUUUAUUAUUUA
ensembl:lncRNA